CCUUAAUAAGUUUUUAACAUCAGCUUGUGGAGCUGAAUUAAUCUAAUUAUUUU
rnacentral:tRNA from 1 species